rnacentral:rRNA from 1 species
AUGUACAUUCCUACAACAUAGAGUUAAUGCAUCAGAUCCCAUUAGAACUCUGCAGUUAAGCACGUUUAGGCUAGAGUAGUAUUUGGAUGGGUGAUCGCUUGGGAAAUCCUAGUUUUUUACAUG